CACGUAGGGCGCGAGCGUUGUCCGGAAUUAUUGGGCGUAAAGAGCUCGUAGGCGGCCUGUUGCGUCCGCUGUGAAAGCCCAGGGCUUAACCCCGGGUCGGCAGUGGAUACGGGCAGGCUAGAGGUAGGUAGGGGAGAAUGGAAUUCCCGGUGUAGCGGUGAAAUGCGCAGAUAUCGGGAGGAACACCGGUGGCGAAGGCGGUUCUCUGGGCCUUACCUGACGCUGAGGAGCGAAAGCGUGGGGAGCGAACAGG
rnacentral:rRNA from 1 species